rnacentral:rRNA from 1 species
CCUACGGGAGGCUGCAGUAAGGAAUAUUGGGCAAUGGACGCAAGUCUGACCCAGCCAUGCCGCGUGGAGGAUGAAGGCCCUCUGGGUUGUAAACUUCUUUUCUCUGGGGCGAAAAACAGGUUUUCUAACUUGCUUGACAGUACCAGAGGAAUAAGCACCGGCUAACUCCGUGCCAGCAGCCGCGGUAAUACGGAGGGUGCAAGCGUUAUCCGGAUUCACUGGGUUUAAAGGGUGGAGGUGUGGGGGGGUAGAAAUCCCCGAGCUUAACUUGGGAACUGCCAUUGAUACUAUCUCUCUUGAAUACCUUGGAGGUAAGCGGAAUAUGUCAUGUAGCGGUGAAAUGCUUAGAUAUGACAUAGAACACCAAUUGCGAAGGCAGCUUACUACACGGUCAUUGACACUGAGGCACGAAAGCGUGGGGAUCAAACAGGAUUAGAUACCCUGGUAGUC